CUACCCAGUCCGUUAUACUUUGUUGCAGCAGCCCUAGGAAACCUUUCACGUUUCCUCUUCUUCCCAGAGAAGAGAGUGCUGAGAAGACAGCACUGGCCUCAAUCCAAGGGAGCCCAGAGCUGCACUGGCACGUGACUCAGCUAUGGUGUCCAAUUCAUCAGCUACAAUGAGGACCGGAAUUGGGAAAUCUUUCAUUUCAGCAAGCUGCUUCUCUUUCUUCUGGUUAUGAGGAGCUGCUAUCCCACAAGGAGUUUCCAGAUUUUCUAAGAAGAGCUUAGGAAAGAACUAACACAUCAUUUCCAUUUUGUUAGCAAGAACCAGCAAAGGAAGGUGAUCUCAAAUGAGUCACUAGCAGAGCA